rnacentral:misc_RNA from 1 species
UCCUUUCUAAGGAUUUUUACAUGACGUACGUUUUGACACUUUGGUUCCAGUUUUGAGAGUUCAAUCUCUCAAUUAUAGAAAGCACACUACUUUCUUCUUAUUAAAUAAGAAGAAUUUUGGUUGCGAUUGUUCUUUGAAAACUAGAUAACAGUAAUUGCUGAGGAAAAGUGAAACUUUUCUUUAAUCAAACCAAUAAAUAACACAACAGUAUGUUGUACCAUUUAUUCGCUAAUGGUUAAGUUAGAAAGGGCGCACGGUGAAUGCCUUGGCACUAGGAGCCGAUGAAGGACGGGACUAACACCGAAUGUUCGGAGCGAAG